AUAAAAAACCAACGCCCUUCGGGGCUCCUUGGUGAAUCAUAAUAACUAAGCGAACCGCAUGGCCUUGCGCCGGCGAUGGUUCAUUCAAAUUUCUGCCCUAUCAACUUUCGAUGGUAAGAUAGUGGCGUACCAUGGUGGCAACGGGUAACGGGGAAUUAGGGUUCGAUUCCGGAGAGGGAGCCUGAGAAACGGCUACCACAUCCAAGGAAGGCAGCAGGCGCGCAAAUUACCCAAUCCCGACACGGGGAGGUAGUGACAAUAAAUACUGAUACGGGGCUCUUUUGGGUCUCGUAAUCGGAAUGAGUACAAUCUAAAUCCCUUAACGAGGAACAAUUGGAGGGCAAGUCUGGUGCCAGCAGCCGCGGUAAUUCCAGCUCCAAUAGCGUAUAUUAAAGUUGUUGCAGUUAAAAAGCUCGUAGUUGAACCUUGGGUCUGGCUGACCGGUCCGCCUCACCGCGAGUACUGGUUCGGCUGGGCCUUUCCUUCUGGGGAACCUCAUGGCCUUCACUGGCUGUGG
rnacentral:rRNA from 1 species